GAUGAACGCUGGCGGCGUGCCUAAUACAUGCAAGUCGAGCGAACGGACGAGAAGCUUGCUUCUCUGAUGUUAGCGGCGGACGGGUGAGUAACACGUGGAUAGCCUACCUAUAAGACUGGGAUAACUUCGGGAAACCGGAGCUAAUACCGGAUAAUAUUUUGAACCGCAUGGUUCAAAAGUGAAAGACGGUCUUGCUGUCACUUAUAGAUGGAUCCGCGCUGCAUUAGCUAGUUGGUAAGGUAACGGCUUACCAAGGCAACGAUGCAUAGCCGACCUGAGAGGGUGAUCGGCCACCCUGGAACUGAGACCCGGUCCAGACUCCUACGGGAGGCCGCAGUAGGGAAUCUUCCGCAAUGGGCGAAAGCCUGACGGAGCAACGCCGCGUGAGUGAUGAAGGUCUUCGGAUCGUAAAACUCUGUUAUUAGGGAAGAACAUAUGUGUAAGUAACUGUGCACAUCUUGACGGUACCUAAUCAGAAAGCCACGGCUAACUACGUG
rnacentral:rRNA from 1 species